rnacentral:misc_RNA from 1 species
AGGUAUUCUUCGGUGCAGCCAGCGCUUCCACAGCGCGGCAGCCCAAACCUUACACACUGUGAUUAGUUUUUUUACUAUUUACUUUGGCUGCGCAAGUGGCCAAAGGUCUUAAACACAAAGAUUUAUAUCUUUUUUUACAAAAUUUAGUCAAUGAAGUUUUAAUACUAUAAUCUUCA